rnacentral:rRNA from 1 species
AUUGAACGCUAGCGGCAUGCUUUACACAUGCAAGUCGAACGAGUGGCGGACGGGUGAGUAAUGAAUGGGAACCUAGCCUAUAGCGGGGGAUAACUACGCGAAACUGUAGCUAAUACCGCCUACCAUAGGAUCAGCCCAAGUGGGAUUAGGUAGUUGGUGGGGUAAAGGCUCACCAAGUCAACGAUCCGUAGCUGGUCUGAGAGGAUGACCAGCCACAAUGGGACUGAGAAACGGCCCAGACUCCUACGGGAGGCAGCAGUGGGGAAUUUUGGACAAUGGGGGCAACCCUGAUCCAGCCAUCCCGCGUGUAUGAGAAGGCCUGCGGGUUGUAAAGUACUUUUGGCAGAGAAGCGGUAACUGCAGAAGAAGCACCGGCUAACUACGUGCCAGCAGCCGCGGUAAUAC